GGUGAAAAGCACCCCGGAAGGGGAGUGAAAUAGAACCUGAAACCGUGUGCUUACAAGUAGUCAGAGCCCGUUAAUGGGUGAUGGCGUGCCUUUUGUAGAAUGAACCGGCGAGUUACGAUUUGAUGCAAGGUUAAGCAGUAAAUGUGGAGCCGUAGCGAAAGCGAGUCUGAAUAGGGCGUUUAGUAUUUGGUCGUAGACCCGAAACCAGGUGAUCUACCCUUGGUCAGGUUGAAGUUCAGGUAACACUGAAUGGAGGACCGAACCGACUUACGUUGAAAAGUGAGCGGAUGAACUGAGGGUAGCGGAGAAAUUCCAAUCGAACCUGGAGAUAGCUGGUUCUCUCCGAAAUAGCUUUAGGGCUAGCCUCAAGUGAUGAUUAUUGGAGGUAGAGCACUGUUUGGACGAGGGGCCCCUCUCGGGUUACCGAAUUCAGACAAACUCCGAAUGCCAAUUAAUUUAACUUGGGAGUCAGAACAUGGGUGAUAAGGUCCGUGUUCGAAAGGGAAACAGCCCAGACCACCAGCUAAGGUCCCAAAAUAUAUGUUAAGUGGAAAAGGAUGUGGCGUUGCCCAGACAACUAGGAUGUUGGCUUAGAAGCAGCCAUCAUUUAAAGAGUGCGUAAUAGCUCACUAGUCGAGUGACACUGCGCCGAAAAUGUACCGGGGCUAAACAUAUUACCGAAGCUGUGGAUUGUCCUUUGGACAAUGGUAGGAGAGCGUUCUAAGGGCGUUGAAGCAUGAUCGUAAGGACAUGUGGAGCGCUUAGAAGUGAGAAUGCCGGUGUGAGUAGCGAAAGACGGGUGAGAAUCCCGUCCACCGAUUGACUAAGGUUUCCAGAGGAAGGCUCGUCCGCUCUGGGUUAGUCGGGUCCUAAGCUGAGGCCGACAGGCGUAGGCGAUGGAUAACAGGUUGAUAUUCCUGUACCACCUAUAAUCGUUUUAAUCGAUGGGGGGACGCAGUAGGAUAGGCGAAGCGUGCGAUUGGAUUGCACGUCUAAGCAGUAAGGCUGAGUAUUAGGCAAAUCCGGUACUCAUUAAGGCUGAGCUGUGAUGGGGAGAAGACAUUGUGUCUUCGAGUCGUUGAUUUCACACUGCCGAGAAAAGCCUCUAGAUAGAAAAUAGGUGCCCGUACCGCAAACCGACACAGGUAGUCAAGAUGAGAAUUCUAAGGUGAGCGAGCGAACUCUCGUUAAGGAACUCGGCAAAAUGACCCCGUAACUUCGGGAGAAGGGGUGCUCUUUAGGGUUAACGCCCAGAAGAGCCGCAGUGAAUAGGCCCAAGCGACUGUUUAUCAAAAACACAGGUCUCUGCUAAACCGUAAGGUGAUGUAUAGGGGCUGACGCCUGCCCGGUGCUGGAAGGUUAAGAGGAGUGGUUAGCUUCUGCGAAGCUACGAAUCGAAGCCCCAGUAAACGGCGGCCGUAACUAUAACGGUCCUAAGGUAGCGAAAUUCCUUGUCGGGUAAGUUCCGACCCGCACGAAAGGCGUAACGAUUUGGGCACUGUCUCAACGAGAGACUCGGUGAAAUCAUAGUACCUGUGAAGAUGCAGGUUACCCGCGACAGGACGGAAAGACCCCGUGGAGCUUUACUGUAGCCUGAUAUUGAAAUUCGGCACAGCUUGUACAGGAUAGGUAGGAGCCUUUGAAACGUGAGCGCUAGCUUACGUGGAGGCGCUGGUGGGAUACUACCCUAGCUGUGUUGGCUUUCUAACCCGCACCACUUAUCGUGGUGGGAGACAGUGUCAGGCGGGCAGUUUGACUGGGGCGGUCGCCUCCUAAAAGGUAACGGAGGCGCUCAAAGGUUCCCUCAGAAUGGUUGGAAAUCAUUC
rnacentral:rRNA from 1 species